rnacentral:rRNA from 1 species
GAUAACCGCUGAAAGCAUCUAAGUGGGAAGCCCACCCCAAGAUGAGUGUUCUGUUUUAAGGUCCCGGCGAGACUAGCCGGUGAUAGGCCCAAGGUGGAAGCUCAGCAAUGAGUGCAGCCGAAGGGUACUAACAGACCGAACCGUUGACCAG